AAAUGAAUAGACGGGGGCCCGCACAAGCAGUGGAGUAUGUGGUUUAAUUCGAAGCAACGCGAAGAACCUUACCAGGAUUUGACAUCCCCUGAAUAGCAUAGAGAUAUGUGAAGCUCUUUUAGAGCAGGGAGACAGGUGGUGCAUGGUUGUCGUCAGCUCGUGUCGUGAGAUGUUGGGUUAAGUCCCGCAACGAGCGCAACCCUUGUUGCCAGUUACCAUCAUUAAGUUGGGGACUCUGGCGAGACUGCCGAUGAUGAAUCGGAGGAAGGUGGGGACGACGUCAAAUCAUCAUGCCCCUUAUGUCCUGGGCUACACACGUACUACAAUGGACAAUACAGAGGGAAGCUAAGGAGCGAUCCGGAGCAAAUCCGCUAAAAUUGUUCUCAGUUCAGAUUGCAGGCUGAAACUCGCCUGCAUGAAGUCGGAAUUGCUAGUAAUCGCAGGUCAGCAUACUGCGGUGAAUACGUUCCCGGGCCUUGUACACACCGCCCGU
rnacentral:rRNA from 1 species